UAAGCAAGAGAUUCAUUGAAGCUCAGCAUGGCUCAGACCAGCUCAUACUUCAUGCUGAUCUCCUGCCUGAUGUUCCUGUCUCAGAGCCAAGGCCAAGAGGCCGAGACAGAGUUGCCCCAGGCCCGGAUCAGCUGCCCAGAAGGCACCAAUGCCUAUGGCUCCUACUGCUACUACUUUAAUGAAGACCGUGAGACCUGGGUUGAUGCAGAUCUCUAUUGCCAAAACAUGAAUUCAGGCAACCUGGUGUCUGUGCUCACCCAGGCCGAGGGUGCCUUUGUGGCCUCACUGAUUAAGGAGAGUGGCACUGGUGACUUCAAUGUCUGGAUUGGCCUCCAUGACCCCAAAAAGAACCGUCGCUGGCACUGGAGCAGUGGGUCCCUGGUCUCCUACAAGUCCUGGGGCAUUGGAGCCCCAAGCAGUGUUAAUCCUGGCUACUGUGUGAGCCUGACCUCAAGCUCAGGUGAGAGGCAGAGAAUCCAUCCACCUGUUUCUGUUCUCUCCUGCUUAGCUCCAGGGAUGGAACUGGGACUGGGACAGAGGAAAGGUGAACUCCUCAUUAAGGAAAUGGAUGUUUGGUUUUUGUCCUGAGUCCUAAAGCC
rnacentral:sRNA from 1 species